rnacentral:rRNA from 1 species
UACGUAGGCAGCAAGCGUUGUUCGGAAUUACUGGGCGUAAAGCGCGUGUAGGCGGCAGGGCAAGUCGGAUGUGAAAUCCCGUGGCUCAACCACGGAAGUGCACCCGAAACUGCCCAGCUAGAGUCUCGGAGAGGAAGGUGGAAUGCUUGGUGUAGAGGUGAAAUUCGUAGAUAUCAAGCGGAACACCGGUGGCGAAGGCGGCCUUCUGGACGAUGACUGACGCUGAGACGCGAAAGCGUGGGGAGCAAACAGG